GUGGGGAUGUGUUUCCCAUGGGACAAGACAGGCGUGAGCUCCUGCAAAGGGGCCCAGAAUGGCGGGGAAGCGUUUCCUGUGGGACAAGACAGGCGUGAGCUCCUGCAAAGGGGCCCAGAAUGGCGGGGAAGCGUUUCCCGUGGGACAAGACAGGCGUGAGCUCCUGCAAUGGGGCCCAGAAUGGCGGGGGAGCGUUUCCCGUGGGACAAGACAGGCGUGAGCUCCUGCAAAGGGGCCCAGAAUCGUGGGGAAGCGUUUCCUGUGGGACAAGACAGGCGUGAGCUCCUGCAAAGGGGCCCAGAAUGGUGGGGAAGCAGAACUUCUGCCUCCAACUCACUUUCUCACCGUGCAACUGCGGAUCCAGAGGAAUCUCUGCAUUUGGGACAUACAUGAUCAGUCUUGGGGAAGGAAGCAGAAGCAAUGGUGGAAUAGGACAAAGAUAAAGGAAAGAGGUGGAAAGUGAUGAACACAGACCGCGAUGACCCGGUGUGGGGUGAUAUGGGCGAGGACAGCAUCCAGCGAAGAGGUCCUGGCUCCUGACUGCAAUUUGGUGGCUCUACUGUACCCUGUGCAACGGGUAUAGGUCUGCCUGGAUGAUCAAAACAGAUGGGAAGGAGCCAUGGUGGGGCAAUGAUCCUGUUCUGUUGCCUCCUGGAGAUUCAAGCAUUAUAUAUGGAGAGCUAUCAUCUCUACCCCUCCUCCCGGUUUACUCUCAUGAAGACAGAAUCAGAGAGGCUCAGCAAAUGCCAGAACUCAAAUUCAAGCGCAACUCUGCCUGAUGGAAACUCAGGUGAUUUCCACUCUGCCUCCACCUGCAUUCCUCAGCACCCUGCAGUUGGUCCCCAGACUCUAUGCUCCAUGCUGCUUGUGUUUGUUGGUUGGCUGGUUUCGUGUUCAUGUGUUCUGGCUUCUUCAUUUUGGGUCUUUACAUCUUUACAUCUCUAUAGCAGUUCUUCCCAUGUUGUGUAGCAGUUGUCUCUACGUGACAGUCUGUCUUGUGAGGUCGAGUUCCCUGAAGGCAGCAAGCAUGUAAUUGGUAAAUUCUCAUCAGUUAGCCAUGUCUGGAACAUGGUAGGUAUUCAAUAAAGGUUUUUGCUCAUUUAAUCGACUGUUCAUUAGCAUUUACUGAACCUCUACUGUGUGUCCAACACCGUAGCAGGCACUGAGGAUGGAGCGGUGGAGAAAAACAGGCAACACACUCUGCACUCCAUCUAGUGUGCAGAAAACAUGCAAAUAGUCAUAUACACCAAAACACUUCACACAACACAGACACUGCUGUAACAUGCAAAUAGUCACAUAAAACACUUCACACAGCAGACUGACACACUGCUGUAACAUGCAAAUAGUCAUAUACACAUGAAAACACUUCACACAGCACCCUGACACCCUGCUAUAACAUGCAAAUAGUCAUAUACACAUGAAAGCACCCUGACACCCUGCUAUAACAUGCAAAUAGUCAUAUACACAUGAAAACACUUCACACAGCACCCUGACACCCUGCUAUAACAUGCAAAUAGUCAUAUACACAUGAAAACACUUCACACAGCACAGCGACACAUGGCUAUAACACGCAAAUAGUCAUAUACACGUGAAAACACUUCACACAGCACACUGACACGCUGCUAUAACAAAUAUAUACACAAAAACACUUCACACAGCACACUGACACGCUAUUACACGUAGAUAGAUACACGAAAACACUUCACACAGCACACUGACACACUGCUGUAACAUGCAAGUAGUCAUAUACACAAAAACACUUCACACAGCACACCGACACACGGCUAUGUCAGAAAGGCGUGCAGUACUCUGUGAGUGUAGGAUGGUGUCGAGACUCAGGAAAGAGUUGUGCAGAAAAGGGUAUGUGAGUGAGGGGUCAAGGCCGA
rnacentral:lncRNA from 1 species